GUUUUUCCCCUCGCUCACUCACUCACCCACUCACUCAGUCGCCUCUUCACGCUCGUUCCCCUCGCUCACCCAGUCCACCAAAUCCCUAGCCCGCGGCGGCGACGCACCUCCCCCUCACUCGCGUCGGCGAAUCAACCGCGUCGCCGCCCUUCUCCUCAGGCGUCGCCGCCGGGCCUUCUCGUCUGCGUCGCCUCUCCCUCUUGCCCGCAUCCUCUGCGUCACAGUCGAGCCAAAGUUGGAUAUUUUAGCGAGGUCGAGUAGGAGCGUGAGAAGCGCGGGCACGGCGGCCUUGUCCUGCUCGAGGAAGGCGGCGACGGAUGCUAGCGCUCCUCGCCGCCAUCGACCUGCAAGGAGGAGCGCCGUGUUGGACGCUGCCAUCUCCGACGCUGCUGGUACUCCUCCGCCGCUACGAGUGCCCCAUCACCUGCGCCCAGGUCAAGCGCGAAGUCGAGCUCCCCAUGCUUGACCUGCAAGAUGUACUGUGGUCAAGAACUGCUCUCUGCCGCGGGAGUAGAUUGGAAAGGCUGCUGCUGCUCCUGUACAAUGCGGCUGCUACUACCACUACCACUCAUCGAUUCGGGCAUGAGCACAUUCUUGGAGUGGAUCUGCAUUUCAAAAAGUUAACAAGUGGGAGUACAUGGAGUACUACAUUUUAAGUCGAGGAGAAGAUGGUAACUGCUCCGUGAUGAUGCCACCAGCACCUACGACUUCCUCGACCACCACCACCAUGAUGACGACUUCCUCGAACGUGCGAGGCAGGUGAGGAGGAGGGUUACCAGAGGCUGGAGGAAAAUGAGAGCAGGGACUGUCCGCCGAGCAUCCCCAUCGCUGGCGAGCCGAGCAUCCCCAGCCGGUAGCAAGGGACAAGGGAGCAGUAGGCACUACAUACCUCCAUUAUUAUAGUUAAAUGUCAUGUCUGGACUGACCUUUCCUUCUUCCUGGGCAGCCAACACUUUGUAGUUGGAAAUACUAUCAGUUUACACUCCUGAUGAAGUGGUAAAAAUACAUAAUUGAGAAAUAGAUUUACCCUGAUAAUUGCUUGCACUGCACACUUCCUUACAUUUGAAUUUGCAGAUGAUUCUUCAAAUGAGAGAUGUUCCAAAAUUUAGUGAUUACCUGAUGUUUCAGAUGAUGAUCAGGAUGAUUGACAAGGAAGAAAUGUUCCACAGGCUUGCUAUCUGAUUCAUCAGGGUCUGGUGAUAAUAAUAGGCAUGUAGGUGGAUAAUGUUUAUAACGACAAUCACAUCGAAUGCCUGGAUCUGCAUCUCUCAAAUAUUACUUUCAACUCCUACCGAGGGACCUUACCGGAGAUUACACUCGCCAGGUUCUUUCUUGCCAGAGAAAGGGUGUUGAGGGUACUGAGGUUGAACACGCAUUUAAUUAGGAAAGAUGAAUGGUAUGUUGAUCAGAGCCGGCAGGUACUGCAGAAUGGAAGAGGCUCCAAAAAAGCUAAACUUCGUAUUGGAAGAGCAUAUGACAGAGUAAUUUGGAAGUCAUUGUGUCAAACCCAUACAUGACUUGUCAGCGACUGAUCCCUUUGCAGAAAUGACGAAGUAUGCAAUGUGUGAAUUUGGGCAUUGUAAUCUUUGAAUUUGAACCUUGCAAUCUUCAUGGUAUUUAUUAUAUUGAACCGUUUCUGUUCUCUUGUCUCAA
rnacentral:rRNA from 1 species